rnacentral:rRNA from 1 species
AGAGUUUGAUCAUGGCUCAGAAUCAACGCUGGCGGCGCGCUUAACACAUGCAAGUCGCACGAGAAAGGGAGCAAUCCUGAGUAAAGUGGCGCACGGGUGAGUAACACGUGGAUUAUCUACCUUUUAGUGGGGAAUACCUCUGGGAAACCGGAGACAAUACCGCAUAAGCCCGCAAGGGGAAAGCAGCAAUGCGCUGAAAGAGGAGUCCGCGGCCGAUUAGCUAGUUGGCGGGGUAACGGCCCACCAAGGCGAAGAUCGGUAGCCGGCCUGAGAGGGCACACGGCCACACUGGCACUGAAACACGGGCCAGACUCCUACGGGAGGCAGCAGUGGGGAAUCUUGCACAAUGGGCGAAAGCCUGAUGCAGCGACGCCGCGUGAGCGAUGAAGCCCUUCGGGGUGUAAAGCUCUUUCGACGGGAACGAUAAUGACGGUACCCGGAGAAGAAGCUGCGGCUAACUACGUGCCAGCAGCCGCGGUAAUACGUAGGCAGCGAGCGUUGUUCGGAAUUACUGGGCGUAAAGAGUGUGUAGGCGGUGUUCCCAGUCUGUUGUGAAAUCUCCCGGCUUAACUGGGAGGGUGCAGCGGAAACUAGAAUGCUAGAGGGUGGGAGAGGUAAGCGGAAUUCCUGGUGUAGCGGUGAAAUGCGUAGAUAUCAGGAGGAACACCUGGUGUAGACAGCUUACUGGACCACUUCUGACGCUGAGACACGAAAGCGUGGGUAGCAAACAGGAUUAGAUACCCUAGUAGUCC